GCCUAGGAGCUGUCAUCUAUAAUCAUUCAUGGGAAGUCCAAGCUGUUUUCAAAUGGAUCCAAGAGGCUGGAAGAGUAGAAGAUGCUAAAAUGAGACGAACUUUUAAUAUGGGUAUUGGGAUGGUUCUUGUUGUGAGUAAGGAGGCAUCCCACUGAAUCCUUGAGGAUGGAAAUGGAGCUUACUGCAUUGGUGAGGUUGUAACUGGUGAAGGAGUGAGUUAUAAACGAAAUAUAUAAUGUGUGGCUCAAUAUGUCUUUAUGUUCCUUUUUUAGCCCAUUUGACAAGCUGAGAUACAAGCUAGUGCAACUUGUUUUUUUUGU
rnacentral:lncRNA from 1 species